AAUUUUUUAAUUGCAUUAUUACUCUAAGAAAAAGAAACAGAAUCUGCUUAUGGCCGAUUCCAUUGAACAUAUUGAACUGCUGUUCGUAGAUGAGAUCAAGAAGAAAUCAACUAAACUAUUCGCAUUAGUUACUUAUUUGAAAAAUGUUCUUAAUCAAUUUGAAGUAUACAUGCUCAAAGCAUAAAACUAUUGUUGGAUUACGUUCAGAAGUGUGUCAUUAAUUCCUGUAACAUGUACUAACAAAUUACAUAUGUAUCAAUCUAUGAGAUUCAUCCUUUCAAUAUAGGAUGCAAAAAGAAAAAAAGAAGAAAAAAGGCAAAAAAAAAAAAAUUCACAGCUCUACUGUGGCUAAAUGAACAUACAGAGGGAAAAAAUUGAUCCAGUUUGUCCAAAAUCGUAGCUAGUUAAUGGCCGGGGCCUUUCUUGCUGGGUCCAGAAGCCAAUUGAUACAUCAGGCUUCUCACAGAAGAGGCAGUGCUUGCAUUGUUGGAGGAAACAGAAAAUGAAGCUACACCAGAAGCUGAUUCAGCUCCAUUCUCCUGCUGGCAAUUAUCUGCGAUUACAGUAGUAGUCGUCGAACGAAGAGCUCUGCAGUGGACAACACUGAUCAUCUGUGUUGACAAAACCAAUAUAAAUAGAGCGAACACAGAGAAAAUACGCUUCAUUGAUGUUGCAGUUGAGCAUCCUUCAGUCACCAUUGCCAUGUCUAAUAAUAUAUAUGUAUCUGGAACUUGGGUUUUGAAUAUUAUUAUCCGGAGACAGAAGGCUAGCUUGAUUGUGAGAGGGUUGGUGGUGAUGG
rnacentral:lncRNA from 1 species